AGCUUUACUGUCGUUCCAAUUGAAGUGUUGCUCAAAUAUUGAUACAAUACAUUACCUCGGGCUGACCAAUUCAUUUGAUCAAGUUCCUCAAGAUAUUCAUACACUUCCUGUGAAAGAGCCAAUUCCAAGUAUUUGAUCAUUUCUGGUCACUUCCUUUCUAUUUAUGAUUGGUUAGUUGCACAAACAACAAAGGUGAUUGGUGCAUUCAAACUAUUCAACAGGAAGUUUACAAUUAUACUAGGAAGUGUAUGAAUAUCUCGAGGAACUUGAUGGAAUGAAUUGGUCAGCCCGAGGUAAUGUAUUGAAUCAAUAUUUGAGCAACACUUCAAUUGGAACGACAGUAA
rnacentral:lncRNA from 1 species